rnacentral:rRNA from 1 species
UACGGAACGGCGAGCGGCGGGACAACGUGGCGGCGAGUGGACGGAACGGGUGAAGUAAUAUAGUACGGAACACUACCUAGAGGGUGGGGGAAUAACGUAGACGAAAGUUACGCUAAUACCGCAUACGCACUAAGGUGGAAAGUGGGGGAUUCGCAAGAACCUCAUGCUCAUGGAGUGGCCGAUAUCUGAUUAGCUAGUUGGUGAGGUAAAGGCUCACCAAGGCAACGAUCAGUAGCUGGUUUGAGAGAACGACCAGCCACACUGGAACUGAGACACGGUCCAGACUCCUACGGGAGGCAGCAGUGGGGAAUUUUGGACAAUGGGGGCAACCCUGAUCCAGCAAUGCCGCGUGAGUGAAGAAGGCCUUCGGGUUGUAAAGCUCUUUUGUCAGGGAAGAAACGGUGAGAGCUAAUAUCUCUUGCUAAUGACGGUACCUGAAGAAUAAGCACCGGCUAACUACGUG